GAUAAACGCUGGCGGCGUGCUUAACACAUGCAAGUCGAACGAAGUUUUUCCUUCGGGAGAAACUUAGUGGCGGACGGGUGAGUAACGCGUGGGUAACCUGCCCUGUACAGGGGGACAACAGCUGGAAACGGCUGCUAAUACCGCAUAAGCACUUAGCACUGCAUGGUGCAUAGGGAAAAGGGGCAAUCCGGUACAGGAUGGACCCGCGUCUGAUUAGCCAGUUGGCAGGGUAACGGCCUACCAAAGCGACGAUCAGUAGCCGAUCUGAGAGGAUGUACGGCCACAUUGGGACUGAGACACGGCCCAGACUCCUACGGGAGGCAGCAGUGGGGAAUAUUGCACAAUGGAGGAAACUCUGAUGCAGCGACGCCGCGUGAGUGAAGAAGUAUUUCGGUAUGUAAAGCUCUAUCAGCAGGGAAGAAAAUGACGGUACCUGACUAAGAAGCACCGGCUAAAUACGUG
rnacentral:rRNA from 1 species